UACAGAGACUGCAAGCGUUAUUCGGAUUCACUGGGCGUAAAGAGCGCGCAGGCGGCUGGUCAAGUCCGAUGUGAAAGCUCCCGGCUUAACUGGGAAAUUGCAUCGGAAACUGAUCGGCUGGAAGGUGGGAGAGGGUAGCGGAAUUCCCGGUGUAGUGGUGAAACGCGUAGAUAUCGGGAGGAACACCAGUGGCGAAAGCGGCUACCUGGCCCAUUCUUGACGCUGAGGCGCGAAAGCUAGGGGAGCAAACGGG
rnacentral:rRNA from 1 species